GACGUAGGGCGCGAGCAUUGUCCGGAUUUAUUGGGCGUAAAGAGCUCGUAGGUGGUUUGUCGCGUUGUCCGUGAAAACUCACAACUCAAUUGUGGGCGUGCGGGCGAUACGGGCAGACUGGAGUACUGCAGGGGAGACUGGAAUUCCUGGUGUAGCGGCGGAAUGCGCAGAUAUCAGGAGGAACACCGGUGGCGAAGGCGGGUCUCUGGGCAGUAACUGACGCUGAGGAGCGAAAGCGUGGGGAGCGAACAGG
rnacentral:rRNA from 1 species